GUAAGAUUGUACGAAUUGUACUGUCCAACUACAAAUCAUAAAUUUUAUGAUUUUAUAGUUUCUUCAUAUUUUCACGUCAAAAAUAUCUUAUUUCAAAGUUUCAAACGAUGGUUUUUAAGCAUAGAUAUAUUUUAAGUCAAGCGGUAGCGCGGAUUUACUGGAACGAGUUCGAAAUUCGAAGUGCCAAUUUUCAAAAAAUUUUCGCGUAAAAAAUUUAAAUUCUUGCUAAAAUACGAUGGAUUCUAGUGAGUAGCAUUAAUAUAUUUGCUUUUACUUCAAACCAUAAUAUAAAGGAAUAUAUUUAGUGGUCUCUUUGAUAAUAUUUGUGUCUGUUUUUAAGGUUUUUCUCGGGUACCUUCAACCGGUCUACAACUGACACCUACGUCCAGAGGUGGCAGCAUGAUGGGGCAAACUGGGUCAAUGAGUUUUGGUACGCCGAGCCAUGGUCAGAAUACAAGCAGUUAUCUUCCUGGGUAUCUGCUAGGCGGACAUACCCCUUCUCAAAUG
rnacentral:lncRNA from 1 species